UACGUAGGGGGCAGCGUUGUUCGGAAUCAUUGGGCGUAAAGAGCGUGUAGGCGGCCAGAUAAGUCCGCUGUGAAAACUCGAGGCUCAACUUCGAGCUGUCGGUGGAAACUAUUUGGCUAGAGUCCGGAAGAGGAGAGUGGAAUUCCUGGUGUAGCGGUGAAAUGCGCAGAUAUCAGGAAGAACACCCGUGGCGAAGGCGGCUCUCUGGUACGGAACUGACGCUGAGACGCGAAAGCGUGGGGAGCGAACAGG
rnacentral:rRNA from 1 species